UGAAGUAUAUAAUAGUUACAUAUGUUUGUUUUCUAAAUACAAUAAAGAUGCUUGAACACUUGAUUACUAAUGUGAAGGAGGAUGAAAGCAAGAUCAUGGAUGUAAUUAACAACACAUUUGCAGAUGUUAUUUCUUCUCUGAAUUCAAGGAAACGAAAAUUAGAGACAGAAUUAAUAAUGAACACCAGUUACUAUGUAACAGAUAUACACUGUAUUCAGGUGUUGGUUACACAGAAAAUCAGCGAUUUGAACACAGCCAUUAAAAAAGCAACAGAGUUUAAAGCAACAAAUUCCUUGAAAUAUAAAUUUAAUUUGAAUCAGGUUAUCUGUGACUUAAAAAUGACAGUUGAGGAAGAAGUCUUGAAACUGGAUCAGCUAAAAAAAAGAGGACAGCCAAGGUUUUACAUGGACAGUAAUGAUAUUGCUGCUUUGCUGGAAAGUAUGGGGAAAAUUUAUUGUCAUAACCCAACCAUGUAAGUGUACAUUUCAUGUUCUUAUACGUAAAAAUAGUGUGACAUUUGAC
rnacentral:lncRNA from 1 species